AUAUAGUAUAAUAUAUUACAUUCAACUUCGACUUGAAAAAAAAUAAACAAUUAUUUAUAUU
rnacentral:tRNA from 1 species